rnacentral:lncRNA from 1 species
AUGUCCACAGGAAACAACAUGAUCCCGGAACCCCGGACAUUGUACAAGUGCUGUGGACAGGAGACCUAUAAUGAGGACCGGCGGUUGUGCUGUGGACGUCUGGGCAGUGAGAAGAUCCUUAUGAAGGAACACAAGGACAGCAUUUGCUGUGGAGACGUCCAGUACAACCCACAGACACAGCGCUGCUGCGGAGAUCCUCCUGAAAUAAAUGACCUCUCAAUUUCCUGUGAGACGGACUGUAAACAGGUUUUGACCCAAGAGCCUACAGCAAACAACAGGAUGUCGGGACCCCGGACAUUGUCCAAGUGCUGUGGACAGGGUGAGUAUCGAUCAUCUGUUACAAAACACAGAGUAGACGUUAUCAGGGUAUAUGCAGGAAUCAUAGAGAUGAAUUUACUACCUUUUACUACCUUUUUUACUACCUCCACAAUAUCAACAACACGACAUCAAGCAGCGGGGCGGGGGGGAUCCAAAGCAAAGCUUACUACUUACUGUAAGGUAUAAAUGUGACACUGGUAUAAAUGUGACACUGCCGCGAUCCCUGUAGGCAAUUAUUUUUUUUACUACCUUUUACGACUGCGCGGACACCCUGGUUAUAUGGUUUGUGGUCUGAAUCCAGUCUGGUCCUUCGUAUCGGGUGUGGUGUGUGGAGUGGGGUGAUGCUGGCCCUGCGAUACUGUCCAACCGUGUAUCCUGUGGCGUUGGGGAAGGGCGGCAGGUACAGGUCAGGAUGCGACUGGGAGUAUCUAGCCCAACCCUGCACGCUAGGCGGCAUGAGAAAGAUGGUCGCCGAGGAGUGGGAUGGAGUGGGAAAAGCAUCCUGCUUUUCCCACACAAUCCCAGCCACCCCGAUAUAGUAAGAAGCCCCCACCCUCUUCCUCCCUGAACUUUUCCUUCCUCUUCCAUUCAUUCAGAGUAGCCAUAGAGACCGACACGUGUCUAGGAAGACUUAUUGACCCAAGGCGACACGAGUUGGCUCAUGUCAUAGCAUCUUGUUAAAUACAGCCUCAUAGCCAACUUCUACACACGUACAGUAACAGCAACAGUUUAGAGUGGAGCAAAUCCCUGAGCAGUUUAAUCAGUUUAUGAUACAGGACAGCGCGUAAAUGCUCUCCCUGGCAAUUCUUAUCUGGCUCAUGGGUUCAACUCCUGUUGUGAUUGGUAAGUUUGCACUACAAAUGAUAUGGACUGUUAUCAUUUUUUAUCGCAGUCCUUUUCAUCAUAUACUCUAUUGUGGGGCUAUGGCGGGGCAAAUCAACUCUGGUUGUUUGUUGUAUAAUGUCAUUCUUCUCCUUAUGGUCGAGGUAAAAUAGCUUUUUUGCCAGUGUAAACUUUCCGCCAUUUUGACCAGGGGUCUAUUCUGGAGAGAAACCUUUUUCUCAUACAUUUUGGCGCUGUAUUUUGUGCAUGGCCUAUUUGGGUUUUUGCUAUUGUGGCUUUUUGGAUGGGCUUUUUGGAGGUUGGUUACAAAGGGCGCUUUGGUACUUGAAACAGGUGUUAAAAAAUAAAAAAUUAGGUUUAGAGAUAAAGAAAGCCAAAUGAAGUUUACAUUCUGUUGGUUUAAACUCCCAGUCCCAAGGCAUGGAAAUUUCACUUUCUGAGGUUUUCUAACGUUAAUAUGAGGUCCCCUAGCCUACCUUUGCUCCCCCAGUAGCUAGGAAUUUUGUUGGGUGUAAAACGAGAACUAGGCAUUCUGCUCCGCCUUUAAAAAACCUAAGCUCAGACGCUCCGUUUUGGAAUUUUCCCUAUAUGUCGUCAUAAGGGGAGAUGCCACCUCGCCCUUCUCUGCCUUGCCAGCCCAGAGAAUUUGGCCCGCCAAUGAGAUACGACCGUGCGAGCGCCAAAUGUUUGUGUCUGUGUGCGCGUGUGUGUAUCUGUGUGCGCGUGUGCAUGUGUUUGUGUGUGUGAUUACAUACACUGUAACGCAAGUGUGUUAUGGCGCAUAACACGUCGGACUCCCGUCUCUGGUAUUUCCACAAUGAGAUUCUUAGUGGGGAUUGUCUCAGCCAUGGUUGAGAAGGACUUGGGGGAAAGGAACUUUGGCUUUGACUCCCUGAAGUACACGAACCAUGACAUGGAGGAGAAAGGGAUUGUUGCCCUCGAAUGUCUUCCGCUUGAGCCCCGCUUCCCGCUGCCGAGGGACCACCACCUCGGCGCUGCCCGCUGCAGGAGGUGGUGUUGCCUAACGCCUCGUGCCCACUGCCUCCGUCCGUUGACUGAUCCCCAUUGACUUUGAAUGGGGACGGACGCACAAUGCAUUGUGGAUCCGUGCGCUGAAGGCUCCGUCAAAGAGUUGAACAAUUUUCAACUUUUUCGGCAGCGACGGAUCCUUCAUCCAAUCAGAUCACGUCUUCAAAUUUAAGCACUGUGACACUACUCGGGCUCUGACGACCCUGGAAACCUCCCCCAUCCGUCAGCCACGCCUUCUGAGUCAUUUGACUGACGGUGCAGUGGGCACGAGGCGUAAGCGCUGACCGCUGCCGAGGCGGUGGUCCCUCGGCAGCGAGGCUCUGGCGGGAGACAACCACGGCCAACAAUCCCUUUCUCCUCCAUGUCUAGGUUCAGUCUACUUCAGAAGAUGUGGACUUGGAAGAACCACAGACGUCGGACAACCCGACGCAGUCGUUUGAGAUUCAUAAUAUCGUCUGGAGUCUCACACAGCUUUUGGCCGUGAUAAUAUACAUUAUAUGAUAUAGAUAUCUAUGUAUAAUAAUAUCAUUUAGGUAUAGAGCUCCAGGACUCCCGCCGGAGUGUUGUAGAAUAUUUACAAAACACGGCCAAAGGCUGUGUGCGCCUCGCCAUUGCGAUACAUCCACUGUAAACAGAGCGCAUGGUACCGUGGCAGCAAGCUGCUCAGGGCCACACCCCCACCUUCCUCCUUGACCUGCCUCUCUCCUCCUCAUUUGCAUUAAAGCUACAGACACCGAAACGGCGCGUUUGGGGAAAGCUCAAUGUCGGCUGAAUUUCGGGAACGUCUUCAAAUACUGUGUUUGGGGCCCGGUAAUAUCUGUAUUAAAGCAUCCACAAAGUAGCAUGCCAUGGGACCUUUAAGAACGCCAAAAAAAGCUGUAGUCUGAUCAUAUGCUCUUCAAGAGGUCAGCACCGACUGGGUCGAAUAUGACAAGGUUUUUAUGAACCUUGUGUUUCCUACAGAGGCCUAUAAUGUGGACCGGCAGUUGUGCUGUGGAAGUCUGCGCAAUGUGACGAUCCUUAUAAAGGAACAGAAGGGCAGCAUUUGCUGUGGAGACGUCCAGUACAACCCAGAGAAACAGGGCUGCUGUGGAGAUCCUCCUAAAAUAAAGGAACUCUCAGUUCCCUAUGAAACAGACUCAGAACAGGGUUUGACCCAAGAGCCCACAGGUUUGUUUCCUUCUCAGUACUACAUGCACACUUCAGUGAAAAUAGAUAAAUUGUAUAAAAGAUGACAUGUCCACAGUAAACAACAUGAUCCCGACACCCGGGACAUUGUCGAAGUGCUGUGGACUGGGUGAGUAUCGAUCAUCUGUUACAAAACACAGUAGAUGUUAUCUAGUUUGUGGUCUGAAUCCAGUCCGGUCCUUCGUAUCGGGUGUGGUGUGUGGAGCGGGGUGAUGCUGGCCCCGAGAUGCUGU